GACGAACGCUGGCGGCGUGCUUAACACAUGCAAGUCGAACGGAAAGGCCCUGCUUUUUUGGGGUGCUAGCGUGGCGAACGGGUGAGUAACCCGUGAGUCACCUGCCCUUGACUUUGGGAUAACUUCAGGAGACUGGUGCUACUACCGGAUAGGAGCUCCUGCUGCAUGGUGGGGGUUGGAAAGUUUAGGCGGGUGGGGAUGGACUUGCGGCUUAUCAGCUUGUUGGUGGAGUAGUGGCUUACCAAGGCUUUGACGGGUAGCCGGCCUGAGAGGUCGACCGGCGACAUGGGUACUGCGAGACGGACCAGAGUGGUACGGGAGGCAGCAGUGGGGAGUAUGGUACAAUGGGCGGAAGUCUGUGGCAGCAACGUUGCGUGCGGGAUGACGGCUUUCGGGGGGGAAACCGCUGUCGGCUGUUACGAAGCUGUAGUGACGUUAAUAGGUAAAGAAGCACCGGCUAACUACGUG
rnacentral:rRNA from 1 species